UCAUGUCGUAAUAGUAGUCAC
rnacentral:miRNA from 1 species